rnacentral:rRNA from 1 species
UGGGGAAUAUUGCACAAUGGGCGCAAGCCUGAUGCAGCCAUGCCGCGUGUGUGAAGAAGGCCUUCGGGUUGUAAAGCACUUUCAGCGAGGAGGAAGGUGGUGAGCUUAAUACGCUCAUCAAUUGACGUUACUCGCAGAAGAAGCACCGGCUAACUCCGUGCCAGCAGCCGCGGUAAUACGGAGGGUGCAAGCGUUAAUCGGAAUUACUGGGCGUAAAGCGCACGCAGGCGGUUUGUUAAGUCAGAUGUGAAAUCCCCGGGCUCAACCUGGGAACUGCAUUUGAAACUGGCAAGCUAGAGUCUCGUAGAGGGGGGUAGAAUUCCAGGUGUAGCGGUGAAAUGCGUAGAGAUCUGGAGGAAUACCGGUGGCGAAGGCGGCCCCCCUGGACGAAGACUGACGCUCAGGUGCGAAAGCGUGGGGCAGCAAACAGGAUUAGAUACCCUGGUAGUCACGCUGUAAACGAUGUCGAUUUUGGA